UACGUAGGGGACAAGCGUUGUCCGGAUUUAUUGGGCGUAAAGAGCGUGUAGGCGGCCAGAUAGGUCGGUUGUGAAAACUGGAGGCUUAACCUCCAGCCGUCGACCGAAACCAUCUGGCUAGAGUCCGGAAGAGGAGAGUGGAAUUCCUGGUGUAGCGGUGAAAUGCGCAGAUAUCAGGAAGAACACCCGUGGCGAAAGCGGCUCUCUGGAACGGUACUGACGCUGAGACGCGAAAGCGUGGGGAGCGAACAGG
rnacentral:rRNA from 1 species